rnacentral:rRNA from 1 species
AACGUAGGACGCAAGCGUUAUCCGGAAUUACUGGGCGUAAAGCGCGUGUAGGCGGUCGUGCAAGUCGGGUGUGAAAGCCCUGGGCUCAACCCAGGAAGUGCAUUCGAUACUGCGCGACUCGAGUCCCGGAGAGGAUGGUGGAACUCUCGGUGUAGAGGUGAAAUUCGUAGAUAUCGAGAAGAACACCGGUGGCGAAGGCGGCCAUCUGGACGGUGACUGACGCUGAGACGCGAAAGCGUGGGGAGCAAACAGG